rnacentral:piRNA from 1 species
UGCAUCCUUUGAGAAGAAAAA